rnacentral:rRNA from 1 species
UACGUAGGGACCAAGCGUUGUCCGGAUUUAUUGGGCGUAAAGAGCUCGUAGGCGGCCCUCCACGUCGGAUGGGAAAGCUCAGGGCUCAACCCUGAGAUGCCAUUCGAUACGGGAAGGCUAGAGGUAGGUAGGGGAAAGUGGAAUUCCUGGUGUAGCGGUGAAAUGCGCAGAUAUCAGGAGGAACACCGGUGGCGAAGGCGGAUCUCUGGGCCAUUACUGACGCUGAGGAGCGAAAGCGUGGGGAGCGAACAGG